rnacentral:rRNA from 1 species
GACGAACGCUGGCGGCGUGCCUAAUACAUGCAAGUCGAGCGGACUUUCAAGAAGCUUGCUUUUUGAAAGUUAGCGGCGGACGGGUGAGUAACACGUGGGCAACCUGCCUGUAAGACGGGGAUAACUCCGGGAAACCGGGGCUAAUACCGGAUAAUAUCUUUCUUCGCAUGAAGGAAGGUUGAAAGGCGGCGCAAGCUGCCGCUUGCAGAUGGGCCCGCGGCGCAUUAGCUAGUUGGUGAGGUAACGGCUCACCAAGGCGAAGAUGCGUAGCCGACCUGAGAUGGUGAUCGGCCACACUGGGACGGAGACACGGGCCAGACUCCUACGGGAGGCAGCAGUAGGGAAUCUUCCGCAAUGGGCGAAAGCCUGACGGAGCAAUGCCGCGUGAGUGAAGAAGGCCUUCGGGUCGUAAAACUCUGUAAUAAGAGAAGAACAAAUUGUAGAGUAACUGCUACAGUCUUGACGGUAUCUUAUCAGAAAGCCACGGCUAACUACGUGCCAGCCGCCGCCGUAA